rnacentral:rRNA from 1 species
CAAUAGCGUAUAUUUAAGUUGUUGCAGUUAAAAAGCUCGUAGUUGGAUUUCGGGUGGGACGCAGCGGUCUCGCAUUGCGUUUGUACUGCUGCAGCCCUCCUUCUUGCCGGGGGCGGCCUCUCGGACUUCACUGUCUGGGGGUCAGAAUCGGCGAUGUUACUUUGAGUAAAUUAGAGUGUUCAAAGCAAGCUUACGCUCUGAAUAUAAUAGCAUGGGAUAGCACGACAGGACUCUGGCCUAUCGUGUUGGUCUAUAGGACCAGAGUAAUGAUUAAGAGGGACAGUCGGGGGCAUUCGUAUUCCGUUGUCAGAGGUGAAAUUCUUGGAUUUACGGAAGACGAACAUCUGCGAAAGCAUUUGCCAAGGAUGUUUUCAUUGA